AAUAGUUUAAGGUCAAGCAAUCAGGCAACCAUUUGGUGGAGAUAAGGAAAGAUAAUUCAAAGUAAAAGUAGUCGCAAGAGGAAGAAAUUCAUGUUCAGCAAUCAAGAGCCCACCUGAAGAAUGAAGGGAAACAAAUUAAGUGUUGUUAAUCAGGAGCCCACCUACAAAACAAAGGGAAAAAAUUUAAGUGUUGGUAAUUAGGAGCCCACCUGAAGAACAAAGGCAAAAACAAUUCAAG
rnacentral:lncRNA from 1 species